UUGGAGGGCAAGUCUGGUGCCCGCAGCCGCGGUAAUUCCAGCUCCAAUAGCGUAUAUUAAAGUUGUUGCAGUUAAAAAGCUCGUAGUUGAAUUUCGGGGUUCUACCGUUGGUCGGGCUUUGUCUGUACUGGUGUGUAGAAUUUCUACCUUCUGGGGAACCAUCAUGCUAUUAAUUUAGCGUGGUGGGAAACCAGGACCUUUACCUUGAAAAAAUUAGUGUGUUCAAAGCAGGCUUAUGUCUGAAUACAUUAGCGUGGAAUAUUAGAAUAGGACGGUGGUCCUGUUUUGUUGGUUUCUGAAUCACCGUAAUGAUUAAUAGGGAUAGUUGGGGGCAUUAGUAUUCAAUUGUCAGAGGUGAAAUUCUUGGAUUUAUUGAAGACUAACUUCUGCGAAAGCUUUUGCCAAGGAUGUUUUCAUUAAUCAAGAACGAAAGUUAGGGGAUCGAAGACGAUCAGAUACCGUCGUAGUCUUAACCAUAAACUAUGCCGACUAGGGAUCGGACGAUGUUAAUUUUUCUUGACUCGUUCGGCGCCUUACGGGAAAC
rnacentral:rRNA from 1 species